AAUCCCUACCCACCAUACCCAUCGUCACUCUAGAGGCCAAAUCGACACAAAGGCAAAUGACCCAUUUUUACUCCACAACCAUGCAGAUCUAAGAGAUUUGGGUUCUUAGGUGUUUUGGGUGGUGAAAUUCGCAGAUCUGAAAGAUGGAUGAUGAAAAAGAAGAGAUGAUGAACAGAGGGUGAAGUGUAGAUGAUCGAUGUGAAGGGUGAAGAAGAUGAAGGUUGAUGAAGGUUGGAUCUGGGGUCACGA
rnacentral:lncRNA from 1 species